AAUUAACAAAAAAUUGGUCACAACUAAUCACAAUAAAUACAUACUUGAUCACAGAGGGUUACCACAAACAAAUCCACACACACUGUAGUCCAGCACCACAAUCCACCAUUGGUCACAACCGCCAUCACCUUCAACUCAAAUCCUAAACAACAAUCACUGCCACUAUCACUUCCAUCAACACCUUCAACAAACCAAACCACCACAACUAUCACAGCAUCUGCCUGUUCUACUACAAUCACUGCUACCACUGCCAUAAACAAAAAGUGUACAUAAAUCCAAUAACUAAUCAAACAAAAUAUAGGCAAGUGAACAUAUGCUUGUAAAAUUAUUCUUUAAACCAAAUCAAAAUCCAACGUUCCAGAUUAAAAAGUAUAAUCAAAAUGGGAUAUACAACCAAUUCAAGAUUGUGAAAAUAAAAUAUUUGCAGCUCAAAUCCCCAGACCUGCAAUUCGAAUGCCCGCAUAACAAAUUUUCGAGCCAUAGUGCAGACGCACAAACGUGCCAACCACACUGAGAAAGGAUCAACCACCGCACCACAUCUACCAUCUCCACAUUCACAAACACCAUCAUCACCAUCCACAAACAACCUCCUAGUGCUCACACCGCGUUGCAGCUGCAUGCUCACAUCAGCUUAAAUCGACACCAAAACAAUGAUGAAGAGAGAGGAUAGCGUCAUAAUCUCACAGAUCAAUACAACGAUGCUCACGUCAUCGUCAUUGACGUCAUCGCCAUCGAGCCACUAGAUAGCGUGAUGAAGAAAGA
rnacentral:lncRNA from 1 species